AUUACUACAGCAAUUUUCAGAUAAUUCUCUCUCUCUGCCUGUCUCUCUGUCUCUCUCCCUGUCACUCUCUGUCUCUCUAUCUUUGUGUCUCACUGUUUCCCUGAACCUUGGUUUUUCUCUGGCCCCGCGUCUCUCUCUAAUUCUGUCUCGUUAGCCCCCGUCUGUCUUUCAGUCUGUCUUUCUCUGUCUCUCUGCCCACCAGUCUCUCCUCUGCCUCUCCCCAUGCCCUUGCCCACCCCCUCUCUGCAGGUGGAUCUCCUUGGCCCUCUCUAAGCUUCCGCCCCUGCCCCUUGACAGGACAUUGGUCUCACUGAGUCAGAAACAUGACCAGCAGCUCAGGCAUCCACCUCCACCAGGAGUCUCUCAAGCCAUGCUCUGCAGACAGAGCCCUGAGCAGCCAGUCGGCCAUGGUCAGGUGCCCUGGCCUGGGAGCCCCCACACCAAGCCUGGCCUCCAAGGCUGUGUUGACCAGCAGAGUCUGGCCACCUGGAUAAGGAAGAGCUUCUGCUGUGGUCUGUAGAGAAGGAGUUUUCCCUCAUUCACAAAGUGUGGGGGGAUUUGCCAGGACACCCCAUCACUGAUGAGAGAGGCUCAACUCAAACCAGUGAAGAGAAGAAGAAUCUAUCCGCCUGCUAUGGCAGACGCUGUUGGUGCCUAUGGGCUCCGGGACCACUCUGUAAAGAGGUCAUAAAUGAGAAAACACGUGCCCAAGCAGGACCCGCAGGCAGAUGUUGAGACGGUCACCUUUAUCCAGGGGACACAGGAGGCCCUCGCUGCUUUUCCUGCAGCAGCAGUGGCAACGGGGUCACGACCAAGGGUGCACGGCACGCACUAGGACCUGAUGAAAGGCUCCUUCUGAAUCGUGAACUGACAGAAGAAUGCCCUGGGUCACAACUAAUAAAGGGCAUUGUUAACAGACGAGAACAAAGCUGCCUUCAUUUCUUCAUUCGCCGGCCCAUUUGGUGAAGCAGUUACCAAGAGCCCAGGCCAACACACACAGAGCGUGGUUUUAAUUACAUCCUGUGAAUUUAUUUUUCCAGAG
rnacentral:lncRNA from 1 species